CUUUGGGAAAUUAGUGAUGUUUGAUGUUUGCCAGUGGGUGUCCUUAUCCACAGUCAGUUUUGGGGAGCUUUGGUUUUGUGUGUGCAUGUCUUUAUGAGAUGGAAGCUGUACCAAGUUCAAGAGCUGGAAUGCCCCCAUCAAAUGUCAACAACCUGUUUGGAGCACCCAUCUAUAAGAUACUCUGGAUUUUGAUCCCUAGGGCAGUGCCUCCUGAGAAGACAAACUGAAGCUCGCCUUGCCACUUUGUAUGCACCAGACCUCCACACCCGAGGCUUAUCACAAGCAAUUAUCUUACCCAAAUAAAAAAUGAAAAUGGAAAAGUUAAAUAAAUAACAGGACAUCUUGAUGGAAUCGCAGUAAUGCUCAUCUUGGU
ensembl:lncRNA